rnacentral:rRNA from 1 species
GCCUGGAAUAACACGAGGAAACUUGUGCUAAUACCGGAUAAGUCUUUACGGAGAAAGCUUUAUGCACCAUUGGAUGAGCCUGCACUUGAUUAGUUUGUUGGUGGGGUAAUGGCCUACCAAGACUGUGAUCAAUAGCUGAUUUGAGAGGAUGAUCAGCCACAUUGGGACUGAGACACGGCCCAAACUCCUACGGGAGGCAGCAGUGGGGAAUCUUGCACAAUGGAGGAAACUCUGAUGCAGCGAUGCCGCGUGAGUGAAGAAGGCCUUUGGGUUGUAAAGCUCUUUCGUCGGGGAAGAAAAUGACUGUACCCGAAUAAGAAGGUCCGGCUAACUUCGUGCCAGCAGCCGCGGUAAUACGAAGGGACCUAGCGUAGUUCGGAAUUACUGGGCUUAAAGAGUUCGUAGGUGGUUGAAAAAGUUGGUGGUGAAAUCCCAGAGCUUAACUCUGGAACUGCCAUCAAAACUUUUCAGCUAGAGUAUGAUAGAGGAAAGCAGAAUUUCUAGUGUAGAGGUGAAAUUCGUAGAUAUUAGAAAGAAUACCAAUUGCGAAGGCAGCUUUCUGGAUCAUUACUGACACUGAGGAACGAAAGCAUGGGUAGCGAAGAGGAUUAGAUACCCUCGUAGUCCAUGCCGUAAACGAUGUGUGUUAGACGUUGGAAAUUUAUUUUCAGUGUCGCAGCGAAAGCAUUAAACACACCGCCUGGGGAGUACGACCGCAAGGUUAAAACUCAAAUGAAUUGACGGGGACCCGCACAAGUAGUGGAGCAUGUGGUUUAAUUCGAAGAUACGCGCAGAACCUUACCAACACUUGACAUGUUCGUCGCGACUUUAAGAGAUUAAAGUUUUCGGUUCGGCCGGACGAAACACAGGUGCUGCAUGGCUGUCGUCAGCUCGUGUCGUGAGAUGUUGGGUUAAGUCCCGCAACGAGCGCAACCCUCACUUUUAGUUGCCAUCAUUAAGUUGGGCACUCUGAAAGAACUGCCAGUGAUAAGCUGGAGGAAGGUGGGGAUGACGUCAAGUCCUCAUGGCCCUUACGUGUUGGGCUACACACGUGCUACAAUGGCAUUUACAAUAGGAAGCAAGAUGGCGACGUCAAGCAAAUCCUAAAAAGAUGCCUCAGUUCGGAUUGUACUCUGCAACUCGAGUACAUGAAGCUGGAAUUACUAGUAAUCGCGGAUCAGCGCGCCGCGGUGAAUACGUUCCCGGGUCUUGUACACACCGCCCGUCACACCAUGGGAGUUGGUUCUACCUUAAGGC